rnacentral:lncRNA from 1 species
GGUUAAGAACUGGAAUGAACUGUUAUGUGCAUUAGCUUCCAGAUAUAAAAAUAAAAUAUAUAUUUUUUUAUUGUUAAAUCAUUAAUAAAAAUGAUAUAGUGAAAUUAUAAUUCACUGUUAGCAGCCAAUCUGCUUCUAUUUUGUUAAAUUAGCUGCGAAACAAGGUUGAUGAGUUGUGCACCUGCUAGUGAAUAUUUGGACCUCAUUGAAUACGUAUUCAUGUGACCUUCAAUUCAACCCCUAGCUGGAGAUGGGUUAUCGAUGUAUUAAGCUAUUACAAUUGUAAGAGUUUUGCAGAACAAAUAGUCUCGCCUACUUUUGCUGUUAAUCGCAGGCUCAACAAAAAUGAGGAAAAAA